rnacentral:rRNA from 1 species
UACGAAGGGGGGCUAGCGUUGCUCGGAAUUACUGGGCGUAAAGGGCGCGUAGGCGGAUAGUUUAGUCAGAGGUGAAAGCCCAGGGCUCAACCCUGGAAUUGCCUUUGAUACUGGCUAUCUUGAGUUCGGGAGAGGUGAGUGGAACUCCGAGUGUAGAGGUGAAAUUCGUAGAUAUUCGGAAGAACACCAGUGGCGAAGGCGACUCACUGGCCCGAUACUGACGCUGAGGCGCGAAAGCGUGGGGAGCAAACAGG